AGAGUUUGAUCCUGGCUCAGAUUGAACGCUGGCGGCAUGCUUAAUACAUGCAAGUCGAACGGUAACAGGUCUUUCGGGAUGCUGACGAGUGGCGGACGGGUGAGUAAUACAUAGGAAUCUACCUAGUAGUGGGGGACAACCUGGGGAAACUCAGGCUAAUACCGCAUAAUUCCUAAUGGGGAAAGAGGGCCUCUGCUUGCAAGCUCUCGCUAUUAGAUGAGCCUAUGUCGGAUUAGCUUGUUGGUGAGGUAAUGGCUCACCAAGGCGACGAUCUGUAGCUGGUCUGAGAGGGCGAUCAGCCACACUGGGACUGAGACACGGCCCAGACUCCUACGGGAGGCAGCAGUAGGGAAUUUUGGACAAUGGGCGAAAGCCUGAUCCAGCAAUGCCGCGUGUGUGAAGAAGGCCUGCGGGUUGUAAAGCACUUUCAGUUGGGAAGAAAAGUUUUAGAUUAAUACUCUAAAAUUUUGACGUUACCAAGAGAAGAAGCACCGGCUAACUCUGUGCCAGCAGCCGCGGUAAU
rnacentral:rRNA from 1 species